AGACUCUGCCUCCUAAGAGACACGUUAAGCUGACUCUGUGUCUCUGUCAUUCAUCUUCACUCCCCAGGGCCUUUGCACAGCCAUUCGUCUGCUGGGAAAGCUUCGUCUCAAGAUAGUGUCAAGGCUGCUGCCUCUCACUGUGGCUGCCUCCGGGAGGUCUUCCUUACCUUUAAAAAUCACCUCUGCACCCCCACACUCACUGUCCCCCUUCCCCCAACCAGGACCUGACAUGUGCAGGCACCUUUCACUGCUUGACCUGUCAGCAUUUGCGGAUCUAGAGAAGGGGGUGCCCUGUCCAAGGGCAAGCGUCCCUCUUUUCAGUCUGUUUGGCUCACAGCUGUGUCCCUAGUGCAGGGCACGGUGCCAGACACUCAGCAGGGCCUCCAUAAAUAUUUGUAGCCUGAGCAAGUGAACAAAUGGAUGGAAUCACAUUUGAAAGACAAAGCUCUGGGACUUCAAAGAACUUGUUGAUUAAAGGGGUGGAGUUCAGGUAUCUGCAUCCUUACUUUGGCUGAAGGGAAAGAGUAAGAAUACCAAUUGUCACCCAGGAUGGCUGGGUGCCCAGUACUGAAGAGGGCGGCAGACUGGCUGCCGUAGCAACUCUCCCUCCCACGGUGGAAGGGGCGGUGAGGAGUGGAAAGGAGGAACAUCAGGACGUUGUCAUUUGCCCUCAAGGGCCGCACUAGGACUUUAGGGUCCUGGGAGCCUCUUGCUGGUCCUUUGGCUCUGCUGGAAUCCUCUUCCCAGGGCCAGCUCCUUCCAUGACCAGUCUCAGCUCGCAUGCCACCUGCUCGGCUGUGCUGUCCUCUACAUGGGAUUUCUUCUCAGGGAGGCUCAUCCCCUGAGCUGGACAGCUCCCAGCUGACUGCCUCCCUGCUCAGUGGCAGCAGCAGAAAGACAGGUGCCCACAACACCAGCCCCAAAGUCCGAGGUUGCUCACCAUUGACUGCCUUGAGUCACGUGCCCUUUGCUGGACCAAUCACAGUGGCCAGAAAUGGAAUAUGGGGUCAUCAAGGCCCAGACACAGAGGUGUGGGGGCUCCCAAUAUGCCACUCUCAGGAGACAUAGGCUGCUAGAAACAACAGAUGACCCCUGUACUAGGGAACAGUUAAAAGAAAAUACUGGGCUGGGGAUUUAGCUCAGUGGUUUUGCCACCUGCUGCUGCAUAAGCACAAGGACCCGAGUUCAAUCCCUGGUAUCAAAAAAAAAAAAAAUACUAAUGCUCUUUGACAUUCUGAAAUCAAAGAUUUGAAAUCCAAACUCAUAAGUGACAGUUCAUUUUAAGUCAACUUGGCAAGGCCGUGGUGCCCAGAGAUGAGGUCAAAUAUUAUUUAGAAGUUUCUAUAAGGGUGUUUGGGGAUGAGAUUAACAUUUAAAUCAGUGGACUUUAAGGAAAGCAGAUUGCCCUCCAUAAUGUGGGGGGCCACAUCCAAUCAGGUGAAGGCCUGCAUAGAAGAAAACACUGACCUCCUGCAAGCAAAAAGAAUUCUUCAGCAGAUGUCUCAGACUUAAACAGCAGCACCAGCUCCUUCCAGGGUCUCCAGCCUGCUGCUCUACCCUGCGGGUGCUGGACUUGCCAGCCCCCAUAGCCACAGGAGCCAAUUGCUGAAGAUAAACUUCUUUCCGUAUAUGAACCAUAGGUGUUGAAAAACUUUACCCUCUGAAGGUUUGAUAAUUGGGUCUAUGAAGUAUACUGACAAUGGACAGACUAAUGGGAGAAAAGUUAUACAAAUUCCUUACCCACACAGGGGCAUCACAGGAAAGAGAAGUGACCAGUCCCAGCCCAGGGUGAUCCGGAAUCAUAUAUACCUGCUUCAGUGGGGAGGGGGAAGGGGAAGGCUAACUGGCCAUUGGGUGCCAGCCGGGGGUAAAGUAUCUGGGCACAGAGUGACCUUGGGUACACCUGCUGUGAUGGAAGUCCACCUUUCUCUGGCUGACCAGGGCCCUGGCAGGGGAUUCUUGAUUAUUGGUUGGUUCCCUUUGUAGGAUCCAACUUUAGGCAGAUAAGGGAAGCUUGGCCGAGCCCUCUCUGUGCUUGCUGUCCCCAGGUGUCCUCUCUCUGAAAUACUCCACACACUCAAGGGCAUGUUUUUGGUGGCAUCUUUUGAACUCCUCAGCACAUGUUCUGUUGAGUGUGUCUUCUGGGAGCCCUGACUCACACCACACACUGUACUUGAAUAAAGGUUACUUCCAAAGCCCCUCACCUCUGGACUGUAACCAACUUGGUGACAAACUUAGUCCAUCUCCAUAUGCUGGCAUUUGCCACGUGGAAAAGGCCAUUUGACAGAUGGAAGCUGCGGUCCCACCCCAACUCCCAUUUCCUCUCUCUCUUUAAUGUUGAUUUUAUGCUCAUUUUAGAGACCCAGUCAAAAAGAUGGAUACAAGGCCAAAUCAGUGACAAAUGAAAAAGGGAUUUAGACACCUUGAGCUUUUGUGUUGUGUGGUGUGUGUGUGUGUGUGAGAGAGAGAGAGAUUAGUACUAUCCUUCGAAGGAAGGAAGGAGGAAGCUGAAUUCCUGACAGGGCUGGGAGGAGAUGGUGCCUGAACAGACUCUUGCAGUGGACCUCCACCUAGCCCUGUCUCCUAGGAUGAGGGUCCUCCAGUUUUCCUCCAGGGAUUGAAUUCACCUGACCCCACUGAUGGCCCAGUAUGAGCUCUUCCUGCUGCCAUCUGCUGCCCAGGGCCCAGGAUACCCUGUUCCUGCCCCUCCAAUGCCUCCUGCUCCCCAGACCUUCUGGUCGUUCUGCAUUUCUGUGCUCCAGGGUCUAACGUGGAUUCUGUGCCCUGUGACCUCAAAACCCAACAUAACUGAAGAAUGAAAAAAUCUUUAAAAUCACAAGGAAGGCGGCGGCAGAGGUGAUGGCGGCGGCAGAGGUGAUGGCGGCAGCAGCACCACCUGAGAACAGAGCUGGGCCCGGGCAUGGUGGCGCGUUCUGCACUGUGAGAGCGCAGCGGCCGCUGGAUCGCCAUGCGCCAGCGGCUCCAAAGCUCGGGCCUUUGGCCCUUCGCCUCGGCGACGGGAGGCAGCGUCCCGGAGACGAGACUGCGGGCGCUGAGCAAGCCUUGGGCAUCGUGAGGCUGGAUCUCCCCCGCAGCCACGUGGAUUUCCCUGUGAUCCUCUAUGAGCUGUGAGCCUGGUGGGUGAAGACACAAGCACCCCCUCUGACCCAGCAAGAAACUUCCUGUCACAAGGUGUAGCUUCCAUUGAGCACCCCAGGCUGGGGCCACAGCCCUUCGUGAACUCUGUUGGCCCAGAACCUUCAGCUGUAAGCAGG
ensembl:lncRNA